rnacentral:rRNA from 1 species
GAUGAACGCUGGCGGCGUGCUUAACACAUGCAAGUCGAACGGAAAGGCUCCUGCUUGCAGGGGUACUCGUGUGGCGAACGGGUGAGUAACACGUGGGUGAUCUGCCCUGCACUUCGGGAUAAGCCUGGGAAACUGGGUCUAAUACCGGAUAGGACGAUGGUUUGGAUGCCAUUGUGGAAAGUUUUUCGGUGUGGGAUGAGCUCGCGGCCUAUCAGCUUGUUGGUGGGGUAAUGGCCUACCAAGGCGUCGACGGGUAGCCGGCCUGAGAGGGUGUACGGCCACAUUGGGACUGAGAUACGGCCCAGACUCCUACGGGAGGCAGCAGUGGGGAAUAUUGCACAAUGGGCGCAAGCCUGAUGCAGCGACGCCGCGUGGGGGAUGACGGCCUUCGGGUUGUAAACUCCUUUCGCUAGGGACGAAGCGCAAGUGACGGUACCUGGAGAAGAAGCACCGGCUAACUACGUG